GAACUGCGAUAAGUGAUGUGAAUUGCAGACGUACACGAAUCAUCGAACCCUUGAACGCAUUCUGCGCCUCGAAGCUUGUCUUCGAGGCAUAUCUGGGUGAGUGUCGGUUUAACCUUCUUGCAUAAAAAUUUUUAUGCAGCGUUUGAUAGUAAAUCUUCUCCCGUUUGUUGGUAGGGCAUUUUCUAUCAAAAUAAAUCGACCUCUGAUUGAUUUUGGAAUCAAAGAGUAACCUUCGGGUGGAAUCAGAAACUAACUCGUUUACUUUCUCAGUCCUGAACGGCCUACUCAUCUGACCCAAAGUUUGUCGAAAGGUCUCGUUUGAAAUUUGAAAAAUUUUUUUUCAAACCUUCGACCUCACCUAGGUAAGACUACCCGCUGAAUUUAAGC
rnacentral:misc_RNA from 1 species